UCUUCGAUAGCUCAGUUGGUAGAGCGGAGGACUGUAGAUCCUUAGGUCGCUGGUUCAAUUCCGGCUCAAAGGAA